rnacentral:rRNA from 1 species
GCUUACGGCCACACCUCCCUGAGCACGCCGAUCUCCUGUCUCGGAAGCUAAGCAGGGUCGGGCCCGGUUAGUACUUGGAUGGGAGACCGCCUGGGAAUACCAGGUGCUGUAAGCC